CCCGCUGAACUUAAGCAUAUCAAUAAGCGGAGGAAAAGAAACUAACAAGGAUUCCCCUAGUAACUGCGAGUGAAGCGGGAAAAGCUCAAAUUUGAAAUCUGGCGGCUCUGCCGUCCGAGUUGUAUUCUGGAGAAGCGUUUUCCGUGCCGGACCGUGUACAAGUCCCUUGGAACAGGGCGUCAUAGAGGGUGAGAAUCCCGUCUUUGACACGGACCCCCGGCGCUAUGUGAUGCGCUCUCGAAGAGUCGAGUUGUUUGGGAAUGCAGCUCAAAAUGGGUGGUAAAUUCCAUCUAAAGCUAAAUAUUGGCGAGAGACCGAUAGCGGACAAGUACCGUGAGGGAAAGAUGAAAAGCACUUUGGAAAGAGAGUAAAACAGUACGUGAAAUUGUUGAAAGGGAAACGCUUGAAGUCAGUCGCGUCUGCCGGAACUCAGCCUUGCUUCUGCUUGGUGCACUUUCCGGUUUGACGGGCCAGCAUCGGUUUUGGGCGGCGGACACUGGCGAGGGGAAGGUGGCAGCUCCGGCUGUGUUAUAGCCCCUUGUCGCAAACGUCGCCUGGGACCGAGGAAUCCGGCGCAAGCCUGGGAUGCUGGCGUAAUGGCUUUAAACGACCCGUCUUGAAACACGG
rnacentral:rRNA from 1 species